rnacentral:misc_RNA from 1 species
UUUCCGUAGGUGAACCUGCGGAAGGAUCAUUAUUGAAACUUCAUCCGGGGCGCCGCGGCCCUCAGCACCGGUGGAAACGCCGUGUUGCGGGGGCCGCGCGUGCACUCGUCCAAACCAAACCCCUGUGAACCUUACGGGAUGGCCUGGGUUAGCGCCCGGUGCCGUUCCGCUUUAUACAAACACUUAUCAAAGAAUGAACUGAAGGCGGUCUGACCGCUGGAUAACAGAACUGAAACAACUUUCAACAACGGAUCUCUUGGCUCUC